rnacentral:rRNA from 1 species
UACGAAGGGUGCUAGCGUUGUUCGGAAUCACUGGGCGUAAAGCGCGCGUAGGCGGCCAAUCAAGUCAGGGGUGAAAUGCCACGGCUCAACCGUGGAACUGCCUUUGAAACUGAUUGGCUGGAAGAUGAGAGGGGAUAGCGGAAUUUCUGGUGUAGAGGUGAAAUUCGUAGAUACCAGAAGGAACACCGGUGGCGAAGGCGGCUAUCUGGCUCAUUCUUGACGCUCUGGCGCGAAAGCGUGGGGAUCAAACAGG